CUGAUAUAAUGCAUAGUAACGUGUUUAUGGNAUUGUAAACAUCCUUUUGUUAGAGAAGCACNAAUGACGGUAUCUAACGUAAUAAGCACCGGCUAACUCCGUGCCAGCAGCCAUGGUAAUACGGAGGGUGCAAGCGUUACUCGGAAUCACUGGGCGUAAAGAGCGCGUANGCGGGAUAGUCAGUCAGGUGUGAAAUCCUAUGGCUUAACCAUAGAACUGCAUUUGAAACUACUAUUCUAGAGUGUGGGAGAGUGUAGGUGGAAUUCUUGGUGUAGGGGUAAAAUCCGUAGAGAUCAAGAGGAAUACUCAUUGCGAAGGCGACCUGCUGGAACAUUACUGACGCUGAUUGUGCGAAAGCGUGGGGAGCAAACAGGAUUAGAUACCCUGGUAGUCCACGCCCUAAACGAUGGAUGCUAGUUGUUGGAGGGCUUAGUCUCUCCAGUAAUGCAGCUAACGCAUUAAGCAUUCCCGCCUGGGGAGUACGGUCGCAAGAUUAAAACUCAAAGGAAUAGACGGGGACCCGCACAAGCGGUGGAGCAUGUGGUUUAAUUCGAAGAUACACGAAGAACCUUACCUAGGCUUGACAUUGAGAGAAUCCGCUAGAAAUAGUGGAGUGUCUGGCUUGCCAGACCUUGAAAACAGGUGCUGCACGGCUGUGGUCAGCUCGUGUCGUGAGAUGUUGGGUUAAGUCCCGCAACGAGCGCAACCCCCUUUCUUAGUUGCUAACAGGUCAUGCUUGAGAACUCUAAGGAUACUGCCUCCGUAAGGAGGAGGAAGGUGGGGACGCACGUCAAGUCAUCAUGGCCCUUACGCCCUAGGGGCUACACGACGUGCUACAAUGGGGUGCACAAAGAGAAGCAAUACUGCGAAGUGGAGCCAAUCUUCAAAACACCUCUCAGUUCGGAUUGUAGGCUGCAACUCGCCUGCAUGAAGCUGGAAUCGCUAGUAAUCGCAAAUCAGCCAUGUUGCGGUGAAUACGUUCCCGGGUCUUGUACUCACCGCCGUCACACCAUGGGAGUUGUGUUUGCCUUAAGUCAGGAUGCUAAAUUGGCUACUGCCACGGA
rnacentral:rRNA from 1 species